GAAGAUAGCCAGUCUGCCUGCCUCUGUAUGUGCUGUGUUCAUGAAGAAGAUGAAAGAGGCCAACCUGAGUUCUUUGCCUCUCACCUCUCGCUCUCGCCCCACACUGAUCAACAGAGCCCUGAGCUGCCUGGGGAGGAACAUGUCAGAGUUGUCCAGUGAGGAACAUGUCAGAGCUGCUGUGUGAGCUAGCCCCCUCUCAGAUGUCCCUCCUGGCCCCUGAGGUCCUCAACUCCACGGUGCAGGCCCUGGCCUCCUGCACACAGAUACCUCCACGCCACUGGAGGGCGCUCUUCCAGCUGCUCAAUGAUACAUACGGUGACCCAUCUGAUUGGACAGCUGACACCAUGAAAUCCCUGGGUCCUCUCCUUCUGUUGGAUGAUUCUGCUGUCCGCUCACUGCACUUUAAG